ACAAAAUUGCACACCAACAAUGACUUUAAGAUUCUUUUGUAGAUCAAAGAAUGAGAUUUGAAGACAAACUUGAAAAAAAAAAUUUAAGCAUUGGUUUUAUGUUAUUUGAAUCAAUAUUGAGAUUUUGAGAGAUUUUUAAAAUUAAUGAUGUUAGUAGGAUUAGGAUUUGAAAAAUAAAAAUAUAUUUAUAAAUUUGAGGAUUUUUUGAAUUUUGUGGUGUAUGUUCAAUGAAAUUUGAAUAGUGUAUUGGUUUGCUAGUUAUCAAUGUGUUAGAAAUGCAAGUUUUAAGGUCAAUUAAAUAACUAGAUUGAAGUAUAUGAAGGUUUUUGUAGGUUGAAGUCUCAAAAAUUGGAGUUUGAGGGUCAGUGAGUGUUUUUAAGAAAUUCAGCAAUUUGUUAGUUGGAUUAAAGUGAUUUUUUUUUGUAUAGAUACUAGGCUGAAAUAUUUGAGUGGAAUUUGAGAGAAAUUCAAGGAUUCAAAGAAGAGAUAUUAGUUCUGAAAGUUCAGUAUUUAGGUUGGAAUAGGAGGCCAUCUAACACCUAAUUAGAUUAUCUUGCAUUUCUCUCAAUUGGUAAGUGCAAUGGAUUUCAUCUUUCUUAUGCUUGUUUUUAACUAAGAUGUUAAGAAGUGCACAAAUUUUGAGUUGAUUGGUUAGAUUCCAUUUUACUUUAGGAUUAGUCUAGGAUUUGAUUAGACCUUAGAAUGUGGUCUAGGAUUUGGUUAGAAUUAAGAUUUGGUUUAGAACUUGACUAGGGUUUGAAUAAGAUUUGUCUCAAAUUUCAUUAGUGUUCGACGUAAGAUUUGGUUAAGGUUAAUUAGAAUUUUAAUUUAGAUUUGACCUUGAAUUUGGUUAAAAUUUAAUUAGAAUUUUA
rnacentral:lncRNA from 1 species